AUUCGGAUUCCUGAGAUCAAAAUACAUAAGGAUAGCAUGACAAACCCUUCCAAAAAAAAUCUGGAUCUUCAUCUCAGAUUUUGAGAAAAUUCCAAGGCUAUAGGCUUACUGUUUUUUUCGGCAAAAAAGUGAAGCAUUUGCCAGAAUAAUUUCGGGACGCUUUUUCUAUGUAAAAAAGCGUAUCGAACGAGAAGCCGUCAAUGAAAUUGAGCUGGCAUUCGGAUUCCUGAGAUCAAAAUACAUGAGGAUAGCAUGACAAACCCUUCCAAAAAAAAUCUGGAUCUUCAUCUCAGAUUUUGAGAAAAUUCCAAGGCUAUAGGCUUACUGUUUUUUUCGGCAAAAAAGUAAAGCAUUUGCUAGAAUAAUUCUAGGACGCUUUUCCUACGUGAAAAAGCGUAUCGAACAAGAGGCCGUCAAUGAAAUUGAGCUGGC
rnacentral:misc_RNA from 1 species